rnacentral:tRNA from 1 species
GCCCGAGUGCUGGAACUGGUAGACAGGCACGGUUCAGGGCCGUGUGAUCGCAAGAUCGUGAGAGUUCAAAUCUCUCCUCGGGCA